rnacentral:rRNA from 1 species
AGAGUUUGAUCAUGGCUCAGGACGAACGCUGGCGGCGUGCUUAACACAUGCAAGUCGAGCGGUAAGGCCCCUUCGGGGGUACACGAGCGGCGAACGGGUGAGUAACACGUGAGUAACCUGCCCCUGACUCUGGGAUAAGCCUGGGAAACUGGGUCUAAUACCGGAUAUGACCUCGUGCCGCAUGGUGUGGGGUGGAAAGGUGUUUUUCCGGUCAGGGAUGGGCUCGCGGCCUAUCAGCUUGUUGGUGGGGUAACGGCCUACCAAGGCGAUGACGGGUAGCCGGCCUGAGAGGGCGACCGGCCACACUGGGACUGAGACACGGCCCAGACUCCUGCGGGAGGCAGCAGUGGGGAAUAUUGCGCAAUGGGCGGAAGCCUGACGCAGCGACGCCGCGUGGGGGAUGAAGGCCUUCGGGUUGUAAACCUCUUUUACCACUCACGAAGGCCCCUGGUUUUCUGGGGGUUGACGGUAGGUGGUGAAUAAGGACCGGCUAACUACGUGCCAGCAGCCGCGGUAAUACGUAGGGUCCGAGCGUUGUCCGGAAUUAUUGGGCGUAAAGAGCUCGUAGGCGGCCUGUCGCGUCUGCUGUGAAAGUCCGGGGCUUAACUCCGGGUGUGCAGUGGAUACGGGCAGGCUUGAGGUAGGUAGGGGAGACUGGAAUUCCUGGUGUAGCGGUGAAAUGCGCAGAUAUCAGGAGGAACCACCGGUGGCGAAGGCGGGUCUCUGGGCCUUACCUGACGCUGAGGAGCGAAAGCGUGGGGAGCGAACAGGAUUAGAUACCCUGGUAGUCCACGCCGUAAACGUUGGGCGCUAGGUGUGGGGACUUUCCACGGUUUCCGUGCCGUAGCUAACGCAUUAAGCGCCCCGCCUGGGGAGUACGGCCGCAAGGCUAAAACUCAAAGGAAUUGACGG